AGUGAACGCUGGCGGUAGGCCUAACACAUGCAAGUCGAACGGCAGCACAGUAGGAGCUUGCUCUUACGGGUGGCGAGUGGCGGACGGGUGAGGAAUACAUCGGAAUCUACUUUUUCGUGGGGGAUAACGUAGGGAAACUUACGCUAAUACCGCAUACGACCUACGGGUGAAAGCAGGGGAUCUUCGGACCUCGCGCGAUUGAAUGAGCCGAUGUCGGAUUAGCUAGUUGGCGGGGUAAAGGCCCACCAAGGCGACGAUCCGUAGCUGGUCUGAGAGGAUGAUCAGCCACACUGGAACUGAGACACGGUCCAGACUCCUACGGGAGGCAGCAGUGGGGAAUAUUGGACAAUGGGCGCAAGCCUGAUCCAGCCAUACCGCGUGGGUGAAGAAGGCCUUCGGGUUGUAAAGCCCUUUUGUUGGGAAAGAAAAGCAGCAGGUUAAUACCCCGCUGUUCUGACGGUACCCAAAGAAUAAGCACCGGCUAACUUCGUG
rnacentral:rRNA from 1 species